GAGCUAUGAAGUAAAUCGCGCUCUUGUGACGGUUAGGGUCCGUUACGGUGCUUCUGAUCUAUUGAUUAGAAAAUUGCGCUUCUGAGCUC
rnacentral:snoRNA from 1 species